GUUGAGAACCCCUGGCAACACACUGGCGGUAGGGUGUCUGCUGUGUCUAUCAAGCAUUUAGUCUCUUAAAACAAGAUGAGAUAGAAUUUAGCUCUUCUGGACUCUGCUGUUUCUCCAGCCAUUGGUGAUAACAGUAAGGGCCAUUUCUCCGCAAGAAUUUUUGAGGGUGAAGUCAUCUCGCCGUGCUCUUUCAUAACAACUAUGGAAAGCACAGUGAGAUAAUGUCUCAUACCACACUGGUUACCAUCCCGGGAAUUACAAAGUCACCAGAGACAUGCAGAGGACUCAGGAUGAGUCCUCCUGCUUACCUGGUGCUGCCCUGCUCCCUGCAUGUGGACAUCUGGGUGGACUAUGUUGUGCAAGGUCAGAGCUGUGACUCAGUGGGUCUCGGAGUUUCAAUUGGACAAGAGAAAGAGCUCUAGAGGCUGGCUAACACGUGUGGUGGCUAUGCAUGGACUGUCAAAGCAGUCAUGGUAGCAGAUUUCAUUUAAAAAUUUGAAGCACAAUAAAAUCACACUAAAAACAGA